AAGAAUGCGCUGCUAUACAUGCAAGUCGAGCGGACCGACGGGAGCUUGCUCCCUUAGGUCAGCGGCGGACGGGUGAGUAACACGUGGGUAACCUGCCUGUAAGACUGGGAUAACUCCGGGAAACCGGGGCUAAUACCGGAUGCUUGAUUGAACCGCAUGGUUCAAUCAUAAAAGGUGGCUUUUAGCUACCACUUGCAGAUGGACCCGCGGCGCAUUAGCUAGUUGGUGAGGUAACGGCUCACCAAGGCGACGAUGCGUAGCCGACCUGAGAGGGUGAUCGGCCACACUGGGACUGAGACACGGCCCAGACUCCUACGGGAGGCAGCAGUAGGGAAUCUUCCGCAAUGGACGAAAGUCUGACGGAGCAACGCCGCGUGAGUGAUGAAGGUUUUCGGAUCGUAAAACUCUGUUGUUAGGGAAGAACAAGUACCGUUCGAAUAGGGCGGCACCUUGACGGUACCUAACCAGAAAGCCACGGCUAACUACGUGCCAGCAGCCGCGGUAAUACGUAGGUGGCAAGCGUUGUCCGGAAUUAUUGGGCGUAAAGCGCGCGCAGGCGGUUUCUUAAGUCUGAUGUGAAAGCCCCCGGCUCAACCGGGGAGGGUCAUUGGAAACUGGGGAACUUGAGUGCAGAAGAGGAGAGUGGAAUUCCACGUGUAGCGGUGAAAUGCGUAGAGAUGUGGAGGAACACCAGUGGCGAAGGCGACUCUCUGGUCUGUAACUGACGCUGAGGCGCGAAAGCGUGGGAGCGAACAGGAUUAGAUACCCUGGUAGUCCACGCCGUAAACGAUGAGUGCUAAGUGUUAGAGGGUUUCCGCCCUUUAGUGCUGCAGCAAACGCAUUAAGCACUCCGCCUGGGGAGUACGGUCGCAAGACUGAAACUCAAAGGAAUUGACGGGGGCCCGCACAAGCGGUGGAGCAUGUGGUUUAAUUC
rnacentral:rRNA from 1 species